AUUGAACGCUGGCGGCAUGCCUUACACAUGCAAGUCGAACGGUAACAGGUCUUCGGAUGCUGACGAGUGGCGAACGGGUGAGUAAUGCAUCGGAACGUGCCCAGUAGUGGGGGAUAGCCCGGCGAAAGCCGGAUUAAUACCGCAUACGACCUGAGGGUGAAAGGGGGGGAUCGCAAGACCUCUCGCUAUUGGAGCGGCCGAUGUCAGAUUAGCUAGUUGGUGGGGUAAAGGCCUACCAAGGCAACGAUCUGUAGUUGGUCUGAGAGGACGACCAGCCACACUGGGACUGAGACACGGCCCAGACUCCUACGGGAGGCAGCAGUGGGGAAUUUUGGACAAUGGGCGCAAGCCUGAUCCAGCAAUGCCGCGUGCAGGAGGAAGGCCUUCGGGUUGUAAACUGCUUUUGUCAGGGAAGAAAUCUUCUGGGUUAAUACCUCGGGAGGAUGACGGUACCUGAAGAAUAAGCUCCGGCUAACUCCGUGCCAGCCGCCGCUGUAACAC
rnacentral:rRNA from 1 species